CAGUCGCCGCGGUAAUACGGAGGGUGCAAGCGUUAUCCGGAUUUAUUGGGUUUAAAGGGUCCGUAGGCGGAUCUGUAAGUCAGUGGUGAAAUCUCACAGCUUAACUGUGAAACUGCCAUUGAUACUGCAGGUCUUGAGUAAAUUUGAAGUGGCUGGAAUAAGUAGUGUAGCGGUGAAAUGCAUAGAUAUUACUUAGAACACCAAUUGCGAAGGCAGGUCACUAAGAUUUAACUGACGCUGAUGGACGAAAGCGUGGGGAGCGAACAGGAUUAGAGACCCCCGUAGUCCCUGUCUCUUAUAA
rnacentral:rRNA from 1 species